CAUCACAUCCUGGGGCUGAAGUAGGUCCCAAGGGUAUGGCUGUUCGCCAUUUAAAGUGGUACGCGAGCUGGGUUUAGAACGUCGUGAGACAGUUCGGUCCCUAUCUGCCGUGGGCGCUGGAGAACUGAGGGGGGCUGCUCCUAGUACGAGAGGACCGGAGUGGACGCAUCACUGGUGUUCGGGUUGUCAUGCCAAUGGCACUGCCCGGUAGCUACAUGCGGAAGAGAUAAGUGCUGAAAGCAUCUAAGCACGAAACUUGCCCCGAGAUGAGUUCUCCCUGAGACUUUAGGUCUCCUGAAGGAACGUUGAAGACGACGACGUUGAUAGGCCGGGUGUGUAAGCGCAGCGAUGCGUUGAGCUAACCGGUACUAAUGAACCGUGAGGCUUAACCUUACAACGCCGAAG
rnacentral:rRNA from 1 species